CCUAUUUGUGGUCUCACAUUGCCCCUACCCCCUAGUUCUGGUCUCACACUACCCCGACCACUCUGUAAGAACACAUGAAAGAAGAAAUCUUGAUUUUUCCACAGAAGUUCACGCACAGCGAAAUGAUGCGUAUGUUUCUCCAGAACGUGUAUUUCAUCUUCUCCGUUAGAAAUAGCGAUACCCAAGGGAGUGAAUAACUCAAAUCCUUAUUCAUAGUGACUCUUCAGUUCCACUUCAAAAGUUGAUUUGUUGGAGAAAUAUCAGCAAAGAACACCAUAAUAAUGGUGGUACCAUUUCUAAAAUCAAGGAAAACCAAGGUGAUGGGAACAAACAUUUGUAAGAAAGUUCUGCGAUUAAGAUUUGGACAAAAGUUAAAAGUCACUUUCUAUCAAAAUCGAGUAGUUCGACCGAAUCACAACCUAUUUAUGAGACGCUUGGGUUUGCUAGUUCGUGAUUGUUAUAUGUGCCCAUUGCGGGUAUAUUCAUGAAUUGAUAUCGAAAAGCACAAUCUUGAGCAUAUUUGCGCAACUGUUACAGAAAAGUUUGACUGUGAUAACAUGAAUGAUCAAAGAGAUAAUGUUUUGCAACAUAUGAGAAAGCUUUUGAACAAUGAGAUGAUCACUGCACAAGAAUAUGAAAUCCAAGUCAUUGCACCAGUUUCUAAAAGAUGUUCCAAUAGGAGUAGACUAGAGAGAUUGGGAAUGGUUGGUCAAGGAACAUUAUUUAUCUGAUAAGUUUAAGGCUGAAAUUCAAGAGCUUGUAUAAUCUGAACCGUCUUUUACUAAUAUUGAGGUAGUGGAACAGUGCUUUGGACCUCAAUGCAAAAGUCAUGCAGUUAGAUUUGGUGGUGGGAUAACCACUAAGGAGUUGAAAGGAGGUAGUACUUCUAAGGCUGUGUUGUUGGAAGAACUGAAAACAACUCAAAAAGAAAAGGAAUCACUGCAAUAGUGUAUUGAUAUUCUAGAGAGUAAAUAUGAUCGCCUUGAAAAUAUUGUGGUUCAUCAGCAUCCAUCACCUCCACUAUGUUAGGAAACUUUUCAUUAGCUAUGCCAUGAUGUGUAUUUCUCAAUGAAUUUAGUGAUGUCAUUAACAAGUGCUCAUCUUUGAUAAGGGUUUUGCUAAUGCAGUGGUCUGUCUUUCUAUGAUAAGUUGAUUUUAGAGAGUAGGCAGUCUUCAGUUGUACUACUUUCCAUGAUGAACGAGUUUACAUGCUUAUGGAAUUAUGUAUAUCUCUGUCUCAAUCAGGAUGUAUUCCUAUAUUCUGAACUGAGUUCCUUUUUUGCAUGUUCACCCUAGUAUUUGUGUUGCGUGUUAAAUCUCUAUUGUGUUAUAGUUUUAGAAUAAUGAUCUCUAAACUUGUUGACCUUUUUGAAUUUUGUAAAUGCGAAAGAUGGUUAUCUCAUUUUAGUCUAUCUCUAUAAUAAGGUUCACAGUCACAUGUAUAGAUCAACUUGUAUUUAUAGAAGAAGUGGUCUAAGGUAGAUAAUACUACUUUCAUCGAUA